rnacentral:rRNA from 1 species
UACGUAGGGGCUAGCGUUAUCCGGAAUUACUGGGCGUAAAGGGUGCGUAGGUGGUUUCUUAAGUCAGAGGUGAAAGGCUACGGCUCAACCGUAGUAAGCCUUUGAAACUGGGAAACUUGAGUGCAGGAGAGGAGAGUGGAAUUCCUAGUGUAGCGGUGAAAUGCGUAGAGAUUAGGAAGAACACCAGUGGCGAAGGCGAUUCUCUGGACUGUAACUGACGCUGAGGCUCGAAAGCGUGGGGAGCAAACAGGAUUAGAUACCCUGGUAGUCCCUGAG